GUCUAUGGUCAUACCACCCUGAAAGUGUUUGACCUCGUCUGAUCUCAGAAGCUAAGCAGGGUCAGGCCUGGUUAGUACUUGGAUGGGACAGAAGUUGAAAAAAACCCAUGUUUGGGGGGAA
rnacentral:rRNA from 1 species